rnacentral:tRNA from 3 species
GGGCCCGUAGCUCAGCCAGGAUAGAGCACCGGGCUUUUAACCCGGGGGUCGCGGGUUCGAAGCCCGCCGGGCCCG